rnacentral:rRNA from 1 species
UACGUAGGGUGCGAGCGUUGUCCGGAAUUAUUGGGCGUAAAGGGCUCGUAGGCGGUUUGUCGCGUCGGGAGUGAAAACCUUGGGCUUAACUCAGGGCUUGCUUUCGAUACGGGCAGACUAGAGGUAUGCAGGGGAGAACGGAAUUCCUGGUGUAGCGGUGAAAUGCGCAGAUAUCAGGAGGAACACCGGUGGCGAAGGCGGAUCUCUGGGCCAUUACUGACGCUGAGGAGCGAAAGCGUGGGGAGCGAACAGG